AACCAGCCUCUGACAACUACCAGCUGUGUGACCCUGGGACUCAGAGGAGGUGUCGAUCGGAGUCAAUAGACAGAGUUUCCUCAGUAAGAAUACCAAUAAAACACCGAUAAAGUCACAGAUCUCAUCCAAGAGACAGAGGCGGCAUCUGCACAGGGAGGAUCAUUUGGGCUCGUGAGACCUGCUGAGGAUACCAAGGGAGAGACUGGAGAGAGGACAGAGCCCAGGAGCACACACCCAGAGUUAGGGGGCACCACACGGAUGAUGAAUGACCAAAGGACAUUGAGAAGAAACUGCCUCAAGUCUGUCCCCACUUCAGCCUAGCCUCCACCAUCUGCCAAAGUGACUUUUCUAAAGCCACCCGGCCCCUCAACACCAGUGGCUCCCUGUUACUUCCAGGAAUAAUUAUACGGUGCUCUUUUGGAUGGUUAGAGCUCUUCUCUACAUCUUCAGUCUUCUUUACCCUUCUCUCCACACAUCGAGGGUCCAACACUCUAGUCUACUCACUUUUUUCCUCACAGGAUGCUCCAUCUCCCGUCUCUUACUUUGUACGUACCUGGGCGACUCUCCUUGCUCACUUCCAACCUCUUACAUUCCCUUGGCUUCCUUCAACACUGCAGCCUGCAGCAGGAGGCCUUUCCCAGUGGCCCCAGCUGCUAAAGCCUCCUCUUCUGAGGUUACAUCUACUUUGUAUGGUUGCUAUUUCUUUAUGUAUUGUAUCCCCCUUUAAAAUGUGAACUCCUUGAAGGUAGGGACUAUUUUUUUGCCUUUCUUCAUAUCCCCAGCACUUAGGACAGUACGUGGCAUAUAAUAACAGCAUGCUUGCUGACUGACUGACCUAGAUGCACUAACAGACCAUCAUUACCAGUGCCCCUCAGUUACUAAUUAGACCCUGAGUCACACAGGUGACUGUGAGCAUGCAUAUAUUCAUGCACAUUUCAUCUGAACUUUCUACCCUAUGGGCCCCCAAAUCAUUAUCCAUUGGUACUACUGUAAGGAGGGAAUAGAGAGUGUGGAGUGAGCUGCAAUGCCCUCAGACCCUUUUCAGCCUCUCCCAUCAGACACAUGGCUGCCUCUGCCCUCCCUCCUGGCUUUCUGCUUCCCCCUCCCCUUUUCACCACCCCCUCUUCUGCGCAAGUGUAACAUUUGCCAGGCCCCCUGUGUUUACAUGGUUUUCUUCACAGACAACAUGGAUGCAAUGGUUUUCUUGAAAAAGUCGCUGAAGAAAUCUACAGUUUUUAUAAAACACCUUUCUCUUGUGGAGGAAGCCCUCCAUCCUCAGGAGAUCUGGCCAGCCUGCUUGAGAAUAAAUACGCUUCACUUCUACCAAGGGCUGAUGCAGAGCCUAUAGGGAGGCCUGCCGUUCAAAGCAGACUGCUCAGUCUCAUCUGGCUGAGGUAGCACAAUACAGUGAAUGCUUAUAGAGGAGUCUGACAACCUGGGUUCAAAUUCUGCCUCUGACACUUAUUACAUAUAUAUAAAGACAGGCAAGUCCUUUUACCUCCCUGGGCCUCAGUUUCCUCCUCUGUAAAAUGAGAGGAUGCGGUAGAACAGAUGACCUCUAAGAGUCCCUCUUGAUCUAUGAGAUCUCAGCCUCCAUGGUGGUGACAGGGCAGUGCCCAGUCAAAGGCUGCCUGGGAGGGUCUGGGCAAGGAGGGUGGACAGUACAGAACGUUCUUUUAUUUUCAUGGUAAAAUCUCUGCCGCUCAGUGGAAAAGCCAGGUAGUCAAUGGCUGACACCCAACACCAAGCCCACUCACCACCUGCCAGUAGCUGAAAUAUAUUUCACAGAAAUAGACUCUUAGACUCUUUGGGUAGAGUGAAAGCACCCAGAGGGCAGGAGAUCUUUUGUUUUUCUCUUUGCACACCCACAACCUUGCUGAGUGCCUGUUGUGAAGCUUUGGAUUGAUUCAGCCUCUUUUGCACACAAGCCACUACCAAGCCAAGUAUUCCCCAGCCUGCAUGUACGCAAUUGGGUGUUUUAAAAGCUUAAAUAUAGUACUUCACAUCUGUC